rnacentral:rRNA from 1 species
GAUGAACGCUGGCGGCGUGCCUAAUACAUGCAAGUCGAGCGAACGGACGAGAAGCUUGCUUCUCUGAUGUUAGCGGCGGACGGGUGAGUAACACGUGGAUAACCUACCUAUAAGACUGGGAUAACUUCGGGAAACCGGAGCUAACACCGGAUAAUAUUUUGAACCGCAUGGUUCAAAAGUGAAAGACGGUCUUGCUGUCACUUAUAGAUGGAUCCGCGCUGCAUUAGCUAGUUGGUAAGGUAACGGCUUACCAAGGCAACGAUGCAUAGCCGACCUGAGAGGGUGAUCGGCCACACUGGAACUGAGACACGGUCCAGACUCCUACGGGAGGCAGCAGUAGGGAAUCUUCCGCAAUGGGCGAAAGCCUGACGGGGCAACGCCGCGUGAGUGAUGAAGGUCUUCGGAUCGUAAAACUCUGUUAUUAGGGAAGAACAUAUGUGUAAGUAACUGUGCACAUCUUGACGGUACCUAAUCAGAAAGCCACGGCUAACUACGUG